rnacentral:piRNA from 1 species
UAAAAGUGGAAGCUAAAGACUCAGUCAGGU